UAGUCCACGCCGUAAACGAUGUCAACUAGCCGUUGGGAGCAUUUGGCUCUUGGUGGCGCAGCUAACGCGAUAAGUUGGCCGCCUGGGGAGUACGCCGGCAACGGUAAAACUCAAAGGAAUUGACGGGGACCCGCACAAGCGGUGGAGCAUGUGGUUUAAUUCGAUGCAACGCGAAGAACCUUACCUGCCCUUGACAUACAGUGAACUUUUCAGAGAUGAAUUGGUGCCUUCGGGAACACUGAUACAGGUGCUGCAUGGCUGUCGUCAGCUCGUGUCGUGAGAUGUUGGGUUAAGUCCCGCAACGAGCGCAACCCUUGUCCUUAGUUGCCAGCACGUAAUGGUGGGAACUCUAAGGAGACCGCCGGUGACAAACCGGGAGGAAGGGUGGGGACGACGUCAAGUCAUCAUGGGCCCUUAUGGGGCAGGGGCUACACACGUGCUACAA
rnacentral:rRNA from 1 species